CCCCCCCACCCCCACCCCCAUGUGCCGGGCUGGGGGGCAGUGGGGGGGUCAGGGGCGUCCCCCGCCCUGCACAGGGAUGGGACCUGUUUGUUUUCCUUUUGUCCAUAUUUUUUUUCCAGCAGCUGCCGGGUGAGGCCCGUCCACCGCCCACAACAGGAACCGGGGGCACCGGGGCACGGCACGGCCCUGGCUCCCCUGGCAGAGCCGCAGCCGCCCGCCGGGCACCGGCCGGGCUGAGAACAGCCACAGCUCGUGCCAGCGAUGUCAGCCCAGGCCCGGCUACACGGUCAGGUCCCCCCGUGGCGGGGACACGUUGGGGCGACACGGCUCUUCCGCCGCCCCCGCCGGUUGCCCGGGGGCCGGACCCCGUUCCUGCGGCCGGUGGCAGCACCCACCCCGGGGCGGGGGUCCCUUGCGCAGGAGGUGGGCGAGCUCGGCCAGGCUGAGCAGCGCCGAGACCAGCCCCACCACGAAGUAGAAGUGGAUGAAGACGGUUUUCUCGGUGGGGCGGGAGACGAAGCAGUCGACGCGGUGCGGGCAGGGCCGGCGGCGGCAGACGAAGAGCGGCUGCACCCUGAAGCCGUAGAGCAGCGCCUGCCCCAGCAGGAAACCCAGCUCGGCCGCGAUGCGGGCCACCACACUGCCCACGUAGAAGGGCUGGAGGCGACGGGCACGCUGGCCGGGAGCCCCCCCGCCCCCCGGCUUGGCCGCUUGGUGGACGGCGAAGAUGACGAAGAGCGCGGCGGGGGCCGAGAGCACGACGACGUGGAAGACGAGGAAGCGGUAGUGGGAGAUGGGGAAGGCGGCGUCGUAACAGACGGGUUUGCAGCCCGGCUGCUGCGUGUUGCAGACGAACUCUUCUUGCUCGUCCUCGAAGACGUCGCUGCCAACCGUGGCCAGGACCAGGAUGCGGAAGAGGAGCAUCACCACCAGCCAGAACCGCCCCACCAUGGGCGAGUGCUCCUGCACCGCGUCCAGCAGCGAGCUCAGGAAGCCCCACUCGCCCAUGGCCGCGCUGUGGGAGCGGGGUCGGCGCUGAGGGGGAUGCCGUGGCCACGGGGAUGGACCCCCCCCUGCAGUGGGCAACACGGCCCCCCCCCACUCCAGCUCACCCUCCUCCGUGCCAAACCCAUCACCGGUGGCAGGAGGGUGCCCCGGCAGUGCCAGCCCAGAGCACCCCAUCACCCCAGAGCAUCCCCAGGUGUCUGCUGUCCCC
rnacentral:lncRNA from 1 species